CUUGUGCAGGGCUUGGUCUGAAGUGUUUAAAUUGUGUUUCCCACGUUUAAUUUGCUUGCUGAAGGGCUUAAAUAGUCGUAAUGCAAAGUUUGGCAGUCUCGCCCUGUGUGUGGUGUGUGUUGGCGUGGCAUGAGGGCUCUGCGAAUGAUAUUUUUGAGAAUUUAGAUAUUGAAUGGGGCUGCUAAAUAAUGUGCCAUGAAAAGCAUUGAAGGAAUUCUGCUCUGCUACUAAUGCAUUAGAAAUUAUUGCCAGCAGUGCUUCUAUCCAGCGGUGCUUGUGGGAGUUAAGUAGUCAUUACUGUUGCUAGGACUAGGGCUGUUUGCUGAUCAGAGCUGUCUCAUGAGGAAUAGUUCUUCCUGGAUCAUUCUCCUCCUGCAAGAGAUGAAAUUGAAUAGGUUUUAUUUGAUUGGCAGUUCAGAAGACUUACUAAGCACGCUCUCGAACCGGCUUUCCUCACUGCACGCAUGGCCC